rnacentral:rRNA from 1 species
GCAUGUGCUGUGAGCUCGAUGAGUAGGGCGGGACACGUGGUAUCCUGUCUGAAUAUGGGGGGACCAUCCUCCAAGGCUAAAUACUCCUGACUGACCGAUAGUGAACCAGUACCGUGAGGGAAAGGCGAAAAGAACCCCGGCGAGGGGAGUGAAAAAGAACCUGAAACCGUGUACGUACAAGCAGUGGGAGCCCCACCACCAAAGCAUUCUCUGGUGUUGAAGGCCCUGCAAAGCAGCAUCGCGGUGGCGGAGCGUCGUUUGCGACGCCCAACACACAAAACAAGCGGUGAGUGCUUUGGGGUGGGGUGACUGCGUACCUUUUGUAUAAUGGGUCAGCGACUUAUAUUCUGUAGCAAGGUUAACCGAAUAGGGGAGCCGGAGGGAAACCGAGUCUUAAUUGGGCGUUAAGUUGCAGGGUAUAGACCCGAAACCCGGUGAUCUAGCCAUGGGCAGGUUGAAGGUUGGGUAACACUAACUGGAGGACCGAACCGACUAAUGUUGAAAAAUUAGCGGAUGACCUGUGGCUGGGGGUGAAAGGCCAAUCAAACCGGGAGAUAGCUGGUUCUCCCCGAAAGCUAUUUAGGUAGCGCCUCGUGAAUUCAUCUCCGGGGGUAGAGCACUGUUUCGGCUAGGGGGCCAUCCCGGCUUACCAACCCGAUGCAAACUGCGAAUACCGGAGAAUGUUAUCACGGGAGACACACGGCGGGUGCUAACGUCCGUCGUGAAGAGGGAAACAACCCAGACCGCCAGCUAAGGUCCCAAAGUCAUGGUUAAGUGGGAAACGAUGUGGGAAGGCCCAGACAGCCAGGAUGUUGGCUUAGAAGCAGCCAUCAUUUAAAGAAAGCGUAAUAGCUCACUGGUCGAGUCGGCCUGCGCGGAAGAUGUAACGGGGCUAAACCAUGCACCGAAGCUGCGGCAGCGACACUCAGGUGUUGUUGGGUAGGGGAGCGUUCUGUAAGUCUGCGAAGGUGGCCUGUGAGGGUUGCUGGAGGUAUCAGAAGUGCGAAUG